CCUACGGGAGGCAGCAGUGGGGAAUAUUGCACAAUGGGGGAAACCCUGAUGCAGCGACGCCGCGUGAGCGAUGAAGUAUUUCGGUAUGUAAAGCUCUAUCAGCAGGGAAGAAAAUGACGGUACUUGACUAAGAAGCCCUGGCUAACUACGUGCCAGCAGCCGCGGUAAUACGUAGGGGGCAAGCGCUCUCCGGAUUGACUGGGUGUAAAGGGAGCGUAGACGGCUGUGCAAGCCAGAUGUGAAAGCCCGGGGCUCAACCCCGGGACUGCAUUUGGAACUGGGUGGCUGGAGUGUCGGAGAGGCAGGCGGAAUUCCUAGUGUAGCGGUGAAAUGCGUAGAUAUUAGGAGGAACACCAGUGGCGAAGGCGGCCUGCUGGACAAUGACUGACGUUGAGGCGCGAAAGCGUGGGGAGCAAACAGGAUUAGAUACCCCUGUAGUC
rnacentral:rRNA from 1 species